rnacentral:tRNA from 1 species
GAGAAAGUCAUAAAGGUUAUGGGGUUGACUUGAAAUUAAUCUGAGGGGGUUUCAAUUCCUCCCUUUCUUA